rnacentral:rRNA from 1 species
GACGAACGCUGGCGGCGUGCCUAAUACAUGCAAGUAGAACGCAGUUGCGAACGGGUGAGUAACGCGUAGGUAAAUGCAUCAUAGCGGGGGAUAACUAGUGGAAACGAUAGCUACUACCGCAUACUGUGAUAUGGACCUUCGUUGUAUUAGCUAGUUGGUGAGGUAAAGUGUCAUCAAGGCGACGAUACAUAUCCGCCCUGAGAGGGUGAUCGGCCACACUGGGACUGAGACACGGCCCAGGUGCCGACGUGAGUCAGCAGUAGGGAAUCUUGGGCAGUUGAAGGAAGUCUGACCGAGCAACGCCGCGUCAGUGAAGAAGGUUUGCGGAGCGUAAAGCUCUUUUGUUAGAGAAGCGGGAACUAACCAGAAAGGGACGGCUAACUACGUGCCAGCAGCCGCGGGAUAC